AUGCCAAAGGAGAAAGCACCUGGGUCAGAUGGUUACACCAUCGGAUUUUACGCCAAAUGCUGGCCGCUUAUUAAAUCUGAUCUGGUUGCGGCCUUCAAUAGCCUUUUUAAUCUGGACAGUAAGGCUUUUGAAGGACUGAACACUGCUCAUUUGGUUCUACUCCCAAAGAGGCCGGGUGCUUCUGAACCCAAUGAUUUUCGCCCAAUUAGUCUGGUGCAUAGUUUUGCCAAAAAUUUCUCUAAAGUCCUCGCUAGAAGACUGGCUCCAGAACUCCCUAAACUGGUAAACUGUAAUCAGGGGCCUUCAUCCAGAGCCAGUCUCUUCAUGACAAUUUUCAGAUGGUCAGCGGAAUGGCCAAGCUUCUACAGCAGAAGAGGUGUGAUAGUCUCAUUCUUAAGCUUGACAUUGCCCGUGCUUUUGACUCGGUCGCUUGGCAAUUUCUCUUGGAUAUUUUACGAGCGAAAGGUUUUGGGCCCAGAUGGCGUGAGUGGAUAG
rnacentral:rRNA from 1 species